rnacentral:rRNA from 1 species
AUUGAACGCUGGCGGCAGGCCUAACACAUGCAAGUCGAGCGGAUGAAGGGAGCUUGCUCCUGGAUACAGCGGCGGACGGGCGAGUAAUGCCUAGGAACCUGCCUGGUAGUGGGGGAUAACGUCCGGAAACGGGCGCUCAUACCGCAUACGUCCUGAGGGAGUAAGUGGGGGAUCAUCGGACCUCACGCUAUCAGAUGAGCCUAGGUCGGAUUAGCUAGUUGGUGGGGUAAAGGCCUACCAAGGCGACGAUCCGUAACUGGUCUGAGAGGAUGAUCAGUCACACUGGAACUGAGACACGGUCCAGACUCCUACGGGAGGCAGCAGUGGGGAAUAUUGGACAAUGGGCGAAAGCCUGAUCCAGCCAUGCCGCGUGUGUGAAGAAGGUCUUCGGAUUGUAAAGCACUUUAAGUUGGGAGGAAGGGCAGUAAGUUAAUACCUUGCUGUUUUGACGUUACCAACAGAAUAAGCACCGGCUAACUUCGUG